AGGAUGGAAUGCUUUACCAUUUGUUUAUGUCCUCUCUCAUUUCUCUGAGCAGUGGUUUAUAGUUCUCCUUGAAGAGGUCCUUCACAUCCCUUGUUAGCUGUAUUCCUAGGUAUUUUAUUCUCUCGGUAGCAGUUGUGAAUGAGCGUUCAUGAUUUGGCACUCUUUAAGUCUGUU